rnacentral:rRNA from 1 species
AUGCACAUGUUGGAAGAUUGGGUGUACCAUGAGAUCGACAAACAAGAUAUCAGCAAGGAAUUCCCGGUCCACACCAUUGCUUUGGGCCGACACAAACCAUAUGAAAUGAAGCACCUAGCUGACGUGACCUUCGGCACCUUCGACACAAUCGAGGCCGACGAGGGCGUCACCAUAUCUCCCAUCGUGUCAGGUCACUACAACAACCUUGUAAGCUCAGACAAACGGUCAGGCAUAGUAGACCUCUACAACAUCUGCACCGGAGAGCAGAAGAACUUUAUUGUCUACUUGACAGUCCCACGGGGCAAUGAGAAGCUUGCCACCGUUGGCGGCACGUACCGGAGCCUGACAACGAGCAAGGAGCUUGUUGGCAUGGGCGUGAUCGUGCCACGACCACACCGAAAAUGCCUGUCUGAAGAGAUGAUCAUCCACCCUAAGGUGGCAGCAGAGUUGUUACGGAUCCGAUUGAUGAAGGCCAGCUUGGAUAGGCACGACUACAAAAUGACAUUGAUGUCGGCCGAGAUGACGGACUCCAUUCUCAAAAAAAAAUCAAAAGAAGAAGAAGAAGAAGGACUCUGA